rnacentral:lncRNA from 1 species
CGGCAGCAGAUAAAAUGGCAUUUACUCACCAACUACUUAACUAUCAUCUAUUGCCUGGUAAAAUUAACACGCAAAGAUAUGAUUUCGCUACAUAUCCACUAUACGAAUGGUCAUAGAGAAACCUUCGUGACCACUGGCCUUUGCUUCAGGAAAUCCAUCAAGACUCCACUGAAUCGCUGUUGACAAUUAAGUGCAAAAAUGCCUCAUAAAUUUCAUA